UCUGAUGGAAGCCAAAAAGAGGCUUAUCACUGUUAAUGAUAUAAUUGAAUUUAAAAUUCCUAUCAAG
rnacentral:tRNA from 1 species